rnacentral:rRNA from 1 species
GUAUGAAUGGCACACGAAGGUUAUACUGUCUCCUCUUUCCAAUCAGUGAAACUAAUCUCCCCGUGAAGAAGCGAGGAUAGACCUAUAAGACGAGAAGACCCUAUGGAGCUUUAAACCAAGUAACACUUGCAUCAAUUUAAUAUAAAUUUCAGAAAAACCUCACCAGCCCAUGCAAGAUUAUUACUAGUUUUAGGUUGGGGUGACCGCGGAGCAAAAGACAACCUCCACAUUGAAGAACCCACUCCUCAGCCAAGAGUAACAUCUCUACGCACCAUUAUAAUGACAUUAAUUGACCCAAUAUUUUGAUCAACGAACCAAGUUACCCUAGGGAUAACAGCGCAAUCCACUYCAAGAGCUCCUAUCGACAAGUGGGUUUACGACCUCGAUGUUGGAUCAGGGUAUCCCAGUGGUGUAGCCGCUACUAAU